UUUUUUAGUUUCCACACGUUCUCUCAUCUCUUCCCAAAUUUAUUUUACCCCCUUCAAUCUUUAUCCUUUAAAACCCUAGCCACCGUAUAGAAACAUAUCCAUCUCAAUCUCACCACCAAGUCUUCCCCCUUCCAUAAUCUAUGCGUGUAAGCCUCAAUGUUCUCAGAAUAUCUCACAUGGUCUCCUCGUUGUUCAAGUAGUCGAACCUCUGUUCUGCUCAAGUCGCCGACUUUUAUGUUCUCCUCUAAUCUUGCGGCUCUUCCUCAAGUCACCACUCUCUUAAACAUCAAACCUCUACCUUUGCAGGCUGCUUAACUAAAACAAACCCUUCCUCUAGUUGUUUGUCUCUGUUUGUUAUCGGCACUAGAUCUGCAACUUUGCAUUGAUUUCUUCUCAAAUGCUCGAAACCAGUCACUCACAGCGAGUCUUUCACGAUCUGGUUUCGACCCUCUCGCAGAAAGCAAGGUUUUCCCUCUUUUCAAUUUGAUGCGUGGAACAGCAGUGGAAUACUCGUGUUAUUGUUGAUAACUUUUUUUGUGAGUUCUAUUUCCUAUUUAUUUUUCUUUGUUUGUUUCCCCUUAAUUUGGUUUCAAGGAAGUUAACUAUUUGUGUGUUGCUGCAAAAGAGGAUGGAAAGACACUGGUUACGGCAUUGUGGGUUGACCACAGUGGUGAUAUUUUAAUGCAUGUUGAUGUUACCUCAGUUUGUUUCUUCUUUCUUUCGUUUUGCUGUUGUUUUUACUGGAAUUGGAAUGUAUUUUGGUACUGUUGUAAUUCACAAAUUAUUGUUCUAGUCAUCAUUAUUAUUAUAAAUGAUUAUUAGUUAAUUAUCAAACUUUGAAUAUUUUACUUAGACAUAGUAGCAGAGGUUGCAGGGUAUGUUUAUUGGCUUUAUUUAGAAGCUUAUAAGGAGAUUAGUAGGAAGGAACACAUAAGAUUCUAGUUGAGAAUUACCAUGAAACUGGUCAUUGGUAGUGAAUGUUGGGCUUUGAAGUGGGAAUCGUAUCCCUUCAUUCAUGCAGUCAUGUAGUUGUCCACUUCUCGCAAGUUCGUUCUCCACUGGUUGCUUCUCGCAAGAUGUCUUUGGCAUUAAGGAGAGAGUCCAGUUGCAUGUAUUCUUUUUGUAAAUUUUGAAUUCAUGCCUUCUUAACAUGAUGGUUCACAGCAGAGUGAACUUGCAAGUGAGUUUCGCCUUUGAAUGGAAGAGGAUCGUGUGGUGGAAGCAUCAUUUGAUGAAUUAUUUGAUUGGGAGAUUGAGCCAGAAUGAUAUUGUUUAUAUGUUUUGUUAUGAAUGAUAUUGAUUCUAUGAUUAGUCGACUAGACUAUUUUAGAAAACAAUAUAUUUUAUGCUAUUAUGAAUUUGUGUUGAAUUUUCACAAUUAAAAUUAUAUUCUGAAUGUUUUGUAUUACAUUUA